rnacentral:rRNA from 1 species
GAGUUUGAUCCUGGCUCAGAACGAACGCUGGCGGCGUGCUUAACACAUGCAAGUCGCACGAGAAAGUCUUCGGACGAGUAAAGUGGCGCACGGGUGAGUAAUAUAUAGGAACGUGCCUAUCUGAGGGGGAUAACUGCUGGAAACGGCAGCUAAUACCGCAUGGUCUCGCAAGAGUAAAGGAUGCCCUCUAUUUAUAAGGUAUCGCAGAUAGAUCGGCCUAUAUCCCAUUAGCUAGUUGGUAGGGUAACGGCCUACCAAGGCAACGAUGGGUAGCUGGUUUGAGAGGAUGAUCAGCCACACUGGAACUGAGACACGGUCCAGACUCCUACGGGAGGCAGCAGUGGGGAAUCUUGCGCAAUGGACGAAAGUCUGACGCAGCAACGCCGCGUGAGUGAAGAAGGCCUUUGGGUUGUAAAGCUCUUUCGACUGGGAAGAAGGGUGAUACUGCGAAUAGUUUUAUCAUUUGACUGUACCAGAAGAAG